rnacentral:rRNA from 1 species
GUAGUCAUAUGCUUGUCUCAAAGAUUAAGCCAUGCAUGUCUAAGUAUAAGCAAUUAUACAGCGAAACUGCGAAUGGCUCAUUAUAUAAGUUAUCGUUUAUUUGAUAGUACCUUACUACUUGGAUAACCGUGGUAAUUCUAGAGCUAAUACAUGCUAAAAAUCCCGACUUCGGAAGGGAUGUAUUUAUUAGAUUAAAAACCAAUGCCCUCUGGGCUCCUUGGUGAUUCAUAAUAACUUUUCGAAUCGCACGGCCUUGCGCCGGCGAUGGUUCAUUCAAAUUUCUUCCCUAUCAACUUUCGAUGUUUGGGUCUUGGCCAAACAUGGUCGCAACGGGUAACGGAGGGUUAGGGCUCGACCCCGGAGAAGGAGCCUGAGAAACGGCUACUACAUCCAAGGAAGGCAGCAGGCGCGCAAAUUACCCAAUCCCGAUUCGGGGAGGUAGUGACAAUAAAUACUGAUACAGGGCUCUUUUGGGUCUUGUAAUUGGAAUGAGUACAAUUUAAAUCUCUUAACGAGGAACAAUUGGAGGGCAAGUCUGGUGCCAGCAGCCGCGGUAAUUCCAGCUCCAAUAGCGUAUAUUAAAGUUGUUGUGGUUAAAAAGCUCGUAGUUGAACCUUGGGCCUGGCUGGCCGGUCCGCCUCACCGCGUGCACUGGUCCGGCCGGGCCUUUCCCUCUGUGGAACCCCAUGCUCUUCACUGAGUGUGGCGGUGAAACAGGACUUUUACUUUGAAAAAAUUAGAGUGCUCCAGGCAGGCCUAUGCUCGAAUACAUUAGCAUGGAAUAAUAAAAUAGGACGCGUGGUUCUAUUUUGUUGGUUUCUAGGACCGCCGUAAUGAUUAAUAGGGACAGUCGGGGGCAUCAGUAUUCAAUUGUCAGAGGUGAAAUUCUUGGAUUUAUUGAAGACUAACUACUGCGAAAGCAUUUGCCAAGGAUGUUUUCAUUAAUCAGGAACGAAAGUUAGGGGAUCGAAGACGAUCAGAUACCGUCGUAGUCUUAACCAUAAACUAUGCCGACUAGGGAUCGGACGAUGUUAUUUUUUGACGCGUUCGGCACCUUACGAGAAAUCAAAGUGCUUGGGCUCCAGGGGAGUAUGGUCGCAAGGCUGAAACUUAAAGAAAUUGACGGAAGGGCACCACCAGGGGUAAACCGCUUCGCGCAGCCGCAGUAGCUCUGCCCCAGAAAGCAGCCCAAAAGGGUCAGUGGUGUUCCUGCCAGCGCUCCGGCGCGGCGAACUAAUUGCUAGUCUCCUCUGGAGGCGACACCCUCAAAUUGCGGGAAAAUCCUAAAGCCAGUGUCACCAAGCCGGCGCCGAAAGGGCGUCGGUGGCCGGGGUAGCGACCUAGGGUACGGUAAAAGCACACUGGAUAAUGCAAUGGACGAUCCGCAGCCAAGCCUCGUCGCCGCAGGGCACGGGGAAGGUUCAGAGACUACAUGGGGGUGGGUAGUGCACUGUCUGGGGGCUCCGGCCCCCGAGCGCCCGCUCACAACACUGCUUAAGAUAUAGUCCGGCCGUGCUGGAAACAGCACGGGCUGGCAAACCCAGAAACGGGAGCCUGCGGCUUAAUUUGACUCAACACGGGGAAACUCACCAGGUCCAGACACAAUGAGGAUUGACAGAUUGAGAGCUCUUUCUUGAUUUUGUGGGUGGUGGUGCAUGGCCGUUCUUAGUUGGUGGAGUGAUUUGUCUGCUUAAUUGCGAUAACGAACGAGACCUUAACCUGCUAAAU